UUAGCGCAGGGCACCUCUGUAGUGCUGAGACUCCUGAUGUUUGUGUUGAGAAAGCCAACCUUGGAGACUUGAGAGUUAA